ensembl:lncRNA
AUAUAGAAUAUUUUGUAUAUCUUGUCUAUUAUGUAAACGAAUAUGCUAGCGCGCAAACAUGUUUGGCCUCUCCAUUUUCCAAGACUGUUAUUCUGAGCCAAUCAGAAUUUAGCAUCUAUGGCCCCACCCCUAUCUCCGCCUAUGCUAAUAAGCAUGGUUGUGUGAGAAGAGCGAUAUAGAUUUUAACAAGCAGUUUAUUAACUACCCAACCUAAUUCUACAAAACGACAGAGUAACAAUAACCAACAUUUACCUAGUUAACUCCCACUAGAGUUACUUUCAACUCCCUGGCAGUUCCAGACAAAAUUCUGUGCUGAGGCCUUAGCGACGCCCACGUUUUGCUAAUUAAAAACGGCGGGCACGCGUUCCCUUAUUCAAAAUAAUCCAUAUUCAUCAAACAUUAAAAACGAAGUCCUUGUUCACCCUGCAGCCUUGUGUCUGCUAUCCAGAUGGACUCAUUACAACGAUUCCUCCACAGCUGCCAGGUGUGUGCAGAUGACAGGAAGGGGCUGAUGGAGAAUUGCCAUAUGACCAAUCAAUACUGAGAUGACAGUAGCAGGAUGGCAUGUGUGUUGCUGUCAGAGCUGUUGUUGGUGCCAGGCUCUAUUGAUCAGUCCUAACAGUUAUCCCAGCCCUUUAAACUCAACCCAGGACUACUGCAGCACAGAAUUAAAUGAAAGAAAUCCCUCAGAGACAACAGAAUGCAGAGGAUGGAGACUAUAAGAAACGCAGUCGAUUUCUGUUCCAUGAAGAUUAAGCAGUAUGAGCAUUGAGGAGACUAUCUAGGGUGAACCAGGUGAGUUGGAGCAUAGAAAAACUGAGAAAAGAAAUCAAGAGCAAGACGAAGGGUAGAAAAUAGAUGGGAAAUUGGAAACGCAGAGGCUAAGGAGCAGGCAGCUAGAAGAAGGAAUGAGUGUAGGCUUCGGUAAAGCAUAGGAAAUUUCUCCUAAACGACUAUGAGAAUGAACCAACCAUCUCAUCACAUAGCUCGUUGUUUUAAUGUGCGCUCCUUGUCUCAUUCCCAUCUGCAGCAUAUCGCUCUGAUUAAAAUUUAAUUGACACUAAUGUUAAUUUUGUCUCAGUGAGGUAUCCAGCUACACGGCAGUCACACAAAUCUAUUUUUGUAGCUAAUCAAGGCCCAUUACAACACCACAGCCACAAUAUCACCAGCCUCUUAUCUAACAAGCACAAUAAAAACCACUCUCCAUGAUGCCA